UUUUGUCAAUUCGCAUGUAUUGACAGAAAAUUGCAGGUCGUUUCCACCCGUUGGCCACCAUACUGAGUUGCUCUGAUAAGAAUGGCUCUUAUGGAUAUUCCACUUUGGAUAAAAACGUCUGCUAAAUAAAUUAAUGUGAAUGUGGUUUGGAUUAUAUAUACUCCAUUCUGUACAGAUUAUUUGACCGUGGAAAGAUUUUGGUGUAUUAGUCCAGCCUAUUUCCACACAAAUAGGAAGGCUGUGGUUGUACGGUAUGUCUACUUUCAUUUGAAUUUGGGCAUGCAGUCACAUAGUCUCUGCAUGUAGUCACAAUGUCACAUAGCUGUAAGUUAGAUGAUUUAGAGGAAUAGUGACAGGUGUUUGCAGUCACUUUCACACACAUGCAUGGACGCACACACACACACGUGCACACAAACACGCACACACACACACACACACACACACACACACACACACACACACACACACACACACACACACACACAAGGUGGUGGUUCUAUAACUACUUUCAUUUUGUGCAUGCUGUGCACGUAGUCACGUACUAUAGCUCAGCCGGCCUCAGACAGUUUCAUGUCCCCUCCUGUCACAGGUUUGGAUGUAUUUUCAAUACCAAUUUGUAAUUGUUCAACUCUCAGGGGAAAUCAUGCUGAGGUGAUUUUCACCUUCACAUUAUUCAAAGCUGCAAGGCUAUUCAUGAGUUUCCUCAGGUCCAUUUCCACAGGUUUAUUACAGUAAAGCAACACUAAAGCACUUUUACUCUGUUGUUUAUCCAGCAAAUAACGAUGUCCACAAACAAGGUAGAGCAUGUUACAUGAUUUAAUGAACUUGUGAUGUAUUGCGACAUCGAAGCAAGUCAAAUUUGUAGUUCCUUAGGUCUCAUUUCAUUGAACUACAGGUACGCUACCCGAUCUGGUAAAGUUACAUAGUGCGGUUAUAGCCGAUAGAGGGCCGCGAAGUAAAUGCAGAAGUGUCGUUCACCCUGUUGCGAGUUGAUGAACCACUAAAAUAAUUGUGGAAACAUUAUGUUACGGUAGGAAAAACUCUUUAGUGUUGCUUUAAUUAAGCUCCAUGCAGUCUGCAUUGCAUUCAUAAUCUACUGUAGAUGCUUUUUAUACACCUGUGCAAAGGGACCGGAUGAAACCCAUGAAUAGUUGCUCAGGAGCUACUCUGUUAAUGUUAGGAAAGAAAUGGUUUAGGCUGUAUUGUAAUAUGCUAUAAUCAAUGAAUGCAUGUAGCAGGACUAGGUCCACGCCCCGUUAGUUAGCUCGGCAGUGCCCUUCGAGUGGCUCUGGGCAAUUGGAGGUGAGCCAAUCAGCAUGUGGGAACAGCUAUAAAGUUCUAGCUUUUAUUUUGAAGGCUGACGUCGUAGCUACACAACGGUGGUUACUCCAGCCUUCACUGUUUCCCUGCUGUAUUGGCCUCUCCUCUGGCCAGUUCUCUACGUCCACCGACUGCUUGGAUUCCAGCUAGUCGCUGAACAUGGGCCUUUAUAACUGACCACAGCUGAGCGAUCUCGGGCAUAACAGGGAGCGGCAACAUCAAGGCAUCUUGGUUCCAGUUCCGACGAACGCUUUUGUUUUGUUUUGUUUUGUGUCUGUAUUGUUUGUUUCAUGCCGUUUGUUGCUGGCUAUGUUUAGCCACCACGAAGUUGAGUGACGACAGGUGUUUUACGGUUUGCUAUCCGAGUGACUGAAUUCGGUCCGGUUAUGGAGGCUAUUCCUGAUCUUGUGAACACUGCGUGUCAUGAUUAUGCGUGGAGUGAUUGCCAAUUAACACUGUUUGCCGUGAGUGCAUUUGAAGUGCUAUUUUAUUCACGAGUGUCUCAUUCCCUGAAUAGUCACCUCACUGACUUUAGCGAACUCACUCUGGAGAGUACUACUGCUGUUAGCGAAUCCACACUGGAGAGUAAUACUGACUUGAGCGAACCCACACUGGAGAGAACACUCCCUAUGUUUUAAUGAUGAUAAUAAAAAAGAGUUUAUUUUUGGACACACGCUUCUCUGGUUUUCUGUGACCCCGAAACCUGUGUUGCCUGGUAGCUAAGUCCAUUAACCAGUCUCAAACCAUUCAUAUUCUGAGGGGAAGGGCCUCAGAUGGCGUAGUCGACAUGUGUCAAAAUAUAGCAAACCAUUCACUUUGCCACACAUACGUAUAUUUUAAGUCUCAAUUUAUCAAUUGCCACCAGAGUUUUGGGCCGGGGGGUCCAGGAUUAUUUUCGGCCAUAGGACCCACAUUUUGUAGCAGUGCCCCUGCUUACAAUGACCAAGAUAAGAGCUUAAAAGUAAGAAUAUUA